GACAGAGGGUGCGAACGUUGUUCGGAAUUACUGGGCGUAAAGCGUGCGCAGGCGGUUUUGUAAGUCUGUCGUGAAAUCCCCGGGCUUAACCUGGGAAUGGCGAUGGAGACUGCAAGGCUAGAGUUUGGCAGAGGGGGGUAGAAUUCCACGUGUAGCAGUGAAAUGCGUAGAGAUGUGGAGGAACACCGAUGGCGAAGGCAGCCCCCUGGGUCAAAACUGACGCUCAUGCACGAAAGCGUGGGGAGCAAACAGG
rnacentral:rRNA from 1 species